GAUCUCCCAUUUCCUUCCGUUACUCACCUCACCCACUCUGCUUUGAGUCUCGACCUCUCCUCCCUAUUCUUUCUCCGUCUUUGAAUCCGGCCGCACCAAUGAUCACACCUACACCACACCAUCUUCGAUCUCUAGAGACUCCUCUGUCAGUCUCGGUUCUCUUUCUCUCUCUCUCUCUCCCUGGAGACUUCUAUCGGUGUCUCUCUCUCGUUCGAUUUGGUCUGCAUUACACUGCACAAGGCUGAAGCACUUGUUGCGGAAGUUAGUGUGGUCCCACCAUCAAGAUUAACAGCUCUAAUUGGUCAGGCUCUUAAGUGGCAGCAACACCAAGGUGAACUGUGGUUGUGAUAUAUUUGAGUUCUUUUUCUCACAACCAUAUAUUUCUAUGUUGAAUACUCAGGUUUUUUAACCAUUUAUUUUAUUUAUUUAUUGGAAUUUGGAUAUAUGUUGAACUGUGGUUGUGAUAUAUUAAUGUGCAUUGUUAUUGCA